UACGUAGGGUGCGAGCGUUGUCCGGAAUUAUUGGGCGUAAAGGGCUCGUAGGCGGUUUGUCGCGUCGGGAGUGAAAGCCCAGGGCUUAACCCUGGGUCUGCUUCUGAUACGGGCAGACUAGAGGUAUGUAGGGGAGAACGGAAUUCCUGGUGUAGCGGUGAAAUGCGCAGAUAUCAGGAGGAACACCGGUGGCGAAGGCGGUUCUCUGGGCAUUACCUGACGCUGAGGAGCGAAAGUGUGGGGAGCGAACAGG
rnacentral:rRNA from 1 species